AUGCCGAAACCUUAGAAGAGAAAAGGGAGAAAGAAAUUCUUUAAAAUUUCUUCUUUUCCUUAACUGUGAGAAGGGAAAUCCAUGGUGAAAGGAAAGGGGAAAACUUCAUGUUUUCUUCUAUAUUAUAGAUAUUAUCUGUACUUUUACUUUUCUUUUGUUGGUCCGAAUGGAUGAAAUAAAAAGGGAAGUUGGUUGCAUGGAGGGAGGGGCCAUGGAUUUGGCAUAUUAAAUAGUUGUUUCUUCAUAUUAAGAACCUUGAAAGGUGGGAGAUGGUUAAAGUGGUAAAGGCAAGGAGAAAGUUUGUGCUCGUAACAGCACAUUGGGGAAGAAUUCGGCAAGUAUUCCUUGAAAUUUAGACACACUUACUCAUUUAGUUAAUUGACAAGUCGAAUUAAACUAGUUGGUGACUUCAAUUAAGUCGUCUGAAUUUUAUUAUUAAACUGUCAAUUAGCUGCUAUUGAUUUUCAGCUAGGAGCAAAUAAAUCAUGUUGGAAAUCUGAAGAAACGGUUGUAAAUAAAAAAAAAAUUGCUGCUGUUGGUUAUGGUGUGAGUUUAUGUUAUUUCUUGAAUGAUUAAUUGUACUCUAAUGCUGGUAUGUGUGAUGAAAAUUGAGGGAAAAGUCUUGAUGACUGUUAAUUGUUGAGUGAACUGUCGAGGCAUGCAAACUCCAUGCAUGCUGUCCGAAUAUGACUUUUUGUAAUGAAAUUAAGGUAACCUGCUGCUGGAAUUGAUUAAAUAUUAAUGUCCUAAGCUGAAAUUAGAAGCUGUCAUAGUUAUAAUUAAGAUGUCCUACUGCUUGGUCGUGAUUAAAAUGUAAGUAUUUAUGCUGUAAGUAUUUAUGUUCGCUUAAACCAUUAUUUGAAGUAGAUUAAUUGUCGUAAUUUAAACAGUCUUAAUAAUGAAACUGUGGUAUCUUCAAACGACAAAUUGAGAGGGGUUAUAGUUAUGAUUUAUAGUGCUUUAGUGCCGUGGUGAAAAUGUAUAACUCUGGGAUUGAUAUUGAUGAUGUUCUGUUAAUGAGUAAAUUGUAUUUUAUUUGCCGAAUGACUUGUUAUUUUAGAAGUACAAAUUGAGUGUUGCUAAUGGUGAGUUUUCUUUAAACUUGUUUUGUUAUUUUCAUGCUUAAAAAUAUAUAUAUUAAAUUAGCAUUGAUGUUUCGGUUUCGAUUUAAUGGCUGAAAAUGUUCUUUCAAAUUUCAAGGCUACUUACUGUCUGUUUCCACCUGCUGCAGAUACCACCUAUAUAUAAUUAUAAUAUUGGUGUGCUCUGUUUCAUGUUAAUUGCUUUAUAAUUAGUUGCGUAAUUCAAUUCUGCCAUUUCAUUAAACGUUUAAGGUGCAUAGAUGUUGGAUACUACAAGAUCCUGCCUAUGGCUAUGGCUACUUGUUUUGGGACUGCUGUUGUUCAUAACAAACAGGGCUUACGUCCCAAUUACCUAUUUUCAAAGCGCUGUAGCAAAAGGAGCUGGUCAGUAUUUUUCUUUUCUUCCUCUUUGGAUUUCCAUUGUUAGAUUUCUUAAUAAUAUGCUUAAAUUGUGAUGAAACUGUAGUUUGUUUGCAUUCAAAUUGAAAUAAAAAAUUGGCAUUUCUAUUCCCUGCCAUUAUGGGCUAUAAUUCAGCCCACACUAAAUUUUACCAAUAAAAUUGAAGAAAACAACAAAUUUGUUUUUCGGGGACAUAUUCUUAAUGUUCUAUUAAAUAUCACGUUUGCUAAAUAUUAUUUCUUUCAAGUUUAAUAUUCAGAUCCACAAAGAAGAUUAUUAUAAUUCAUGGCCUUUAGUUAUGCAAUAACGCCAACCAACAAAUCGUGUAUAUAUAUAUGGAUAGAGUUAUUUCUCUUUCUUUUUUUAGUUAUUCAAUAAAUUUAAUAACAUGAAUUUUUAUAUGAUUUAGAUAAUAGGUUAUAGUCACCACAUGCAAAUUUUUAUUUUUAAUUUAAUAAUGUUCCUUUAUUCAAAACAUUCACCAUUUAAGAAAACAAAUACAUAGUUUUUUUUUUUAAAUAUAUGUGUAUAUUAUUUUAUAUUAGUCAAACAUCAUGAUCAAGCAAUACAGGUAAUGGAAAUAUAACUGCCAAAUCAUGUUUGGGCUGUUUGAGUUGCAGGUCAGUUGGCAAAGGACCUUGAACUAUUUACACACCAUGCCGGUCGUAAAUCUGUGACCAUGACAGAUGUCAUAGUUUCUGGCGAGUGCAUAAUGUCAAACACUGCUUUUGGAUGUAUUUCUUCUUUUGUGGUAUUAUUGUUAGUGACAAUCUUGUUCAUCUUCUAAGUAGUGACUUAUUUUGAGAGAAAGAGCAUGCCUAUUCUGUAUCGAUAGGUUAGAAGUAACAGAUUCAUAUUCGUUUGGAUUAUAGAAACAUAAGACCUAUUCACUUCAAUUUCAGCUCAUAGAAAUUAACAUUUAGCUGCCUCAUUCAGUUCCAUUUUGUAUGGGUAGGUUAGAGGUAGCCAAUUCAUAUUAUUUUAGAGCUACAGAAACAUAAAAACCUAUUCACUUUGAUUUUUAGCUCAUAGAAAUGAACAUUUAGCUGCCUCAUUGAGGUCCAUUUCGUAUCAGUAGGUUAGAAAUAAUUCGUCCUUAUGUGGCCAAGCUUCAUGCAAAUGGACUUAUUCAGAACAGGGACUAUCAGACUGUAUGGUUCUACAUAUGUUAUAAUUCUUGGUUCUUUCUGAAAAUUCAUCAUUUCUGCAUCGUAGCUUAUUACAACUUUAGAAUCUUUUAGUGUGCUGCUAAAUGGGGAAAAAAAAAGGCAAUAACUGCAUUGCUAUGCAAAUUUAAUCUACUAUAAAAAAAAAGUUCAUUAUUCACUUUAUGUGGUAGCAUUUCUUAAGAAACAAAUUGGGAGAAGAAGCAAGGCAAAAUAGUUGAUGCUAAAUAAUUUCUUAAAACAUCUAUGGUUCUCAGAGCUGAAAGUAUCUUUUUAGGACUUGAGUAUUACAAGAAUAUGGUUGGAUUCUUUUUUAUUGCAUUGCUCAUAUAUAAUUUUGAGAAUUUUCUGCAAUUUCUAUUCUUUCCUAAAUUUAAAAGCUCAUUGUCUAUAUCUAUUUUAACUUAUUUAUGAAUGCAAACAUAGUCCUAUUUUAACUAAGGAAAGUAUAAACUAAAUUUCAUAUCACACAAGCUACUAGUUUCAUAUAUAUUAAGCCUUUAUGUCUAAGGAAACAGAGUAUUUUUUUAACAGUUUGUUUUUAUAACAGUUUAUUGAUUUCACCUUUAUUGAUUUUACUUUUAAGUCUUUAUGUCUAAGGAAACAGUUUCAUACAACAUAAUAGCAAGUUUUAUCUCUUAAAAGAAAUUAAAAAAAAAUGCUAUUUAUGAAUGCAAACAAUUUUUAUUUUUUUAACAAUUAGUUUCACACAAGCUACUAGUGCACCUUUGAAUUUGUUGUAUUUUACUAUGACAGUUUGAGGUUGAAUGAGGUCUGCAAUUGGCUUACAGCAAGGUGGGGGCUUGAGGGAUAACGCUAAAUAUAGCGAAGAGUUGGGAAGCAAUAAUGGUGAAAUGAGAGAAGAUUGCAUAUGUUACAAGUAAGUAUAUUGUAUUCUUGGAUCUGGAGAUGUUUCACUACCUGAGGCUACCCUUGUAGAAAUAAGAGAUCAGCAGAGUUUCUUGGAAUUGAAGUUGCAAUUUCAGACUGUAUUAGCUGUUCUGUAGUAUAACAUCAAUAGCAAUGUCCAUCGUCUUAGGAACUUUUUUAUUUGUUUACUUUUGUACUUUGGGUUGAAUGUUGGUAAUCUACAUUUUGGCUAAAUGUUAGUGUAUUUUGAUAUUGGAUCGAUUUUUGUAAUGAAUAUUUAACCUUUAUUUUAAUUUUAAUUUAAUAUUUUUUAGUUGUA
rnacentral:lncRNA from 1 species